ACCAAAAGCAUAGAAGAAAACAUCCGAAAACUGAGUCGUGAAAAAUCAACAUGAAAAACAAAAAAGGUCUCGUUUUGCGCAUGCGUGACAUGUUAUGAAUGUUUAAACAGAGACAGAAAUAUUCUACUCAUCUCUGUCUGUCUCGCAUAACGACCACUCUGUUCUCUUCCAUGCUGAAUUUUUACGACUCAAUUUUAGGACAGUUUUCCCUAGCGAGUGUCGAGACGUCGAGACCUGCUUGUGUGACUGUUGCAUACAGCGUUAAAACAGUGGAAUUGAGGAUAAAACUACAGUGGUUAUAAAGUGUUGAUGCGUAAAUAUAAAAACAUAGUGUAAAUGUAAAAUGUUAAAACAAAGUAACUUUUUCUCUCAUAACAUCGAUGUUACAUGGAAAACAUUCGUUCGAGAAUCUUGCGAACCAACAGUAUCUACAGAAAAGGAAGAUCACUGCUUAGGUUUUCAAAGUGAUGAAGCAAGAAAGGCAUAUGAUGAAAUUAUAAAUGAAAAAAGCGAUGUGUCUUCGGAACAAAAACAUUGCAAAUCAAAAAUAUUCAACAAUCAAAUUAUAACAGCGAAACAGUUUUCAUCAAAUGAAAGGACAAAGUACAAUCAAAUUGCUAACGAAAAAGUGACAAUUAAUGCUAUAUUGAAAGCAGUAGAACAAAAAGAUCUGAAAUUUCUAUCAAAGUAUGUGACGUUGGAAAAUGUUAAUUUGACCGAUGAUUUUGGUUGGACUCCUCUCAUGUCAGCUGCAUAUUGUGGUCACUUAGAUGUUAUAGAAUUUUUAUUAAAUCUUGGUGCCAAUAGAAAAGCAAAAGAAAGAUCUGGUCUUACUGCAGCACAAUUGGCAUUAAAAAAAAAUUAUUUAAAUAUAGUUGCAUUGCUGAAGAAAAAGUCAGAACCUACACCUAACAAAAUAUUACCAGAAACAGUUGCAAACGCUUCUGGAACAAAUAUUGAUGUUCCAUUACAGAUCAGGCCAGAGCUUGUAGGACAUUUGAAUAAUUGCACUGAUAUUACCAAUAAAGGUAAUGAUGAUAGAAAAGAAUGUUCCAAUGAAGGUACAGGAUUUUACUGUAAAAUUUGUAAAGUUAAUUUUUACCAAACAACUUGGAAAAAGCACGAGACAUCCACACUUCACAUUUUCAAUAGUAAACCAAAAUUAACAAAUAUAAUGUAUGGAAUAUCAAAACAAAAUAAAGGUUACCAAAUGCUUUUAAAUUAUGGAUGGGAUGAACAAGGUGGUCUCGGUCCUACAGGAAAAGGAAUGAAAUAUCCGAUUAAAACCUGCCUAAAAUCCGAUAGAAAAGGAAUAGGACAGUCCAAUGAGAAAGAAUACAGAGUGACUCAUUUUAAACCUGGAGAUGCUACAGCAGUUAAUGACUUUAAAACAUCUAAAUCAAAGUGUUUAAACAAGAAAGACAGGGAAAAAUUACUCAAUAGGGAAGUUAGAAAAGAAAGAGUGCUGCGCAUUGCUUUGUCAUAAAGUAAUAUACAAGAAUUUCAUAAACCAUUAAUAUUUGAUAAUACUUCUAAGACUGAAUACAGUAUGAAUUUUAACCAACAGAAGGCUUUAAAACAUAUACAACAAGUAGAAGAAAAAGCUAAUGAGAUCCUUACUGAUCGGCAAGAAAUAAUUGCCUUGGAUAAAAGAAGAAACAAUGAUAGAGUUGGAAUGAGGGCACUGCAGAAGCAGAAUUGUGAGAAACUUUGGGUAACUAUUGGACCAUUAUUACUCAAGAUGCCAUCCAAAACUGCAGAGGAGUUACUUGUCAAAGGUA